ACACUUGUAUCGGAGUUCCUAUGCUAGUUCAAUGCAGAUACAGAGAAGAUUAGCAUGGUCCCUGCACAAGGAUGACACGCAAAAUCGUGAAGUGUUCCACAUUUUU
rnacentral:snRNA from 1 species